UACGUAGGGUGCAAGCGUUAAUCGGAAUUACUGGGCGUAAUGCGUGCGCAGGCGGUUUUGUAAGUCUGUCGUGAAAGCCCCGGGCUCAACCUGGGAAUUGCGAUGGAGACUGCAAGGCUUGAAUCUGGCAGAGGGGGGUAGAAUUCCACGUGUAGCAGUGAAAUGCGUAGAGAUGUGGAGGAACACCGAUGGCGAAGGCAGCCCCCUGGGUCAAGAUUGACGCUCAUGCACGAAAGCGUGGGGAGCAAACAGG
rnacentral:rRNA from 1 species